GAUGGACGCUGGCGGCGUGCCUAAUACAUGCAAGUCGAGCGAACGGACGAGAAGCUUGCUUCUCUGAUGUUAGCGGCGGACGGGUGAGUAACACGUGGAUAACCUACCUAUAAGACUGGGAUAACUUCGGGAAACCGGAGCUAAUACCGGAUAAUAUUUUGAACCGCAUGGUUCAAAAGUGAAAGACGGUCUUGCUGUCACUUAUAGAUGGAUCCGCGCUGCAUUAGCUAGUUGGUAAGGUAACGGCUUACCAAGGCAACGAUGCAUAGCCGACCUGAGAGGGUGAUCGGCCACACUGGAACUGAGACACGGUCCAGACUCCUACGGGAGGCAGCAGUAGGGAAUCUUCCGCAAUGGGCGAAAGCCUGACGGAGCAACGCCGCGUGAGUGAUGAAGGUCUUCGGAUCGUAAAACUCUGUUAUUAGGGAAGAACAUAUGUGUAAGUAACUGCGCACAUCUUGACGGUACCUAAUCAGAAAGCCACGGCUAACUACGUG
rnacentral:rRNA from 1 species